rnacentral:rRNA from 1 species
UACGUAGGGUGCGAGCGUUGUCCGGAAUUAUUGGGCGUAAAGGGCUCGUAGGCGGUUUGUCGCGUCGGGAGUGAAAUCCACUGGCUUAACUGGUGGCUUGCUUUCGAUACGGGCAGACUGGAGGUAUGCAGGGGAGAACGGAAUUCCUGGUGUAGCGGUGAAAUGCGCAGAUAUCAGGAGGAACACCGGUGGCGAAGGCGCUGCUCUGGGCAUGUCCUGACGCUGAGGAGCGAAAGUGUGGGGAGCGAACAGG